UUCUCACUCUCUUUGACGCCCAGCGAUACGAACGCAGGCAGGGUCGUCGGAGCCAAUGGCAGACGGAUGCGAUGACUGGACCAAGCUGUUGCUUAGGCUGCUGCUCCUCUUCAGUAUCUGCCGUUACUCGGCAUGCAGCGCAUCUUAUUACGCGCAGCCGAUCUGGCUACGACGUACCCUUAUACGAAGAUGUUGUACAUCGGACGUUUAGAUGACGUUGGCAGUUAUAUGGCGUACCCCGACGAUAUCGAUGACGCGUCAGAUCCCGCCUACCUCGAUAGAAACACUGCCGCUGCGGCUGCCCUCUAUCGAUUACCGGCAUCGUCGGAACUCACGGAAAACGUUCAAGAUGAUAACACAAUAAGCUUCAGUACAAUGUUACGAAGGACUGGAAUUCGACACAACGUCAGCAAGAGAUAUAUUUUGGGAUUCGAACUGCCGCAGUUGGUGGCCCAGUCGUCGAAUCGUCAGAGGCUACAUCCACCACGACGGCUAUCCAGUAAACUGGAUAUGUCGCGACUUCGAGAGUUGCAGCAAAAGAUGACCGGGAUAGGUCGGAAAUAGGGGCAAGAGCGCGGUGUCGGGUGACCUUGCGGUGAUCUCUAUUACGUAUCUAGCCAUCCGUCGGUCGGCCACGAUUUAAUUUCUUCAGCCGACGUCACCGAGUUCACGUGAGAGAAUCCCGCAGGCGAUCAAGGCACCGACGACAUGCGACUGCGCCUCCCUCUGGCGGAGACACCUGUAGACGGGGGAGUAACCCGGAUGAAAGAAACUAUAAUGUUAAGAUACAAACAUGGCUAUUUAUUUUUGUCGCUAAUUUAAUACGGUUGACGAGUAAGUCAUCGGCU